GGUGGUAAAAAAUGACAAGUGAAUUGAAUUAUUAAAAACUGACCUCACACUUGGUGAUUUUUAACCCAAUCUAAUCUGUAAUUUCUUUUUCUGCUUUUGAUGUAAAUUUGGGUCAUGCUUCUUAUUGAAUUGGUCUAAUCUGUGGGAUUUGGUUAAUUGCAGUGAGUGCCCACAAACAUAGAGUUAUCUCUACUGAUUUUGCUGGUUUUCUGUUAAGGGAAAGAGAUACGUUGAGUCCGCAACUCUGAUUGUGACUCUUUGACAGCCCGUUAGCUUUGUCUCCGUCAAUAGUGCGAAGUUUUGAGAACUGGAAGGGGUGCUUUAUCUGCUUUCAAUGUGCUGGCAACAGUGGCUCGGUUUUACUGGUAGUUGAUCGUUCGGCGGUGAACAGUGAUUAGUUAUGUACCUGCCUGGGAUUUAAGUGGAGAAACAGAGGAGCGACUGUGUUAUUAGUCACUGAGCUCGCGAAGCUGCUGAUUGCCUACUGCAUGUAAGAUUGUAAGAUUAGCCCAAUUUAAUUAUUUUAGUUCAAUUUUGUGAUUGUUUACUUCUGCACAGAUCAAAUUUUUGGAGAAAAGAUAAUCUGUGUGAUUGAAUUCCGAUGCUAACAAUAAAAACUCAUUAGACAUGACUAAAAAUGGGUGAAGGUCAUAUUUUCAAGCUUUCCUUGGCUUUUCAGUUCAGAUAUUAUUCAAGUGGUAUUUUACUUUGA
rnacentral:lncRNA from 1 species